rnacentral:rRNA from 1 species
UUAAGCGACUAAGCGUACACGGUGGAUGCCCUGGCAGUCAGAGGCGAUGAAGGACGUGCUAAUCUGCGAAAAGCGUCGGUAAGGUGAUAUGAACCGUUAUAGCCGGCGAUGUCCGAAUGGGGAAACCCAGUGCAAUUCGUUGCACUAUCGUUAACUGAAUACAUAGGUUAACGAGGCGAACCGGGGGAACUGAAACAUCUAAGUACCCCGAGGAAAAGAAAUCAACCGAGAUUCCCCCAGUAGCGGCGAGCGAACGGGGAGCAGCCCAGAGUCUGAAUCAGCUUGUGUGUUAGUGGAACGGUCUGGAAAGUCCGACGGUACAGGGUGAUAGUCCCGUACACCAAAAUGCACAGGCUGUGAACUCGAAGAGUAGGGCGGGACACGUGGUAUCCUGUCUGAAUAUGGGGGGACCAUCCUCCAAGGCUAAAUACUCCUGACUGACCGAUAGUGAACCAGUACCGUGAGGGAAAGGCGAAAAGAACCCCGGCGAGGGGAGUGAAAAAGAACCUGAAACCGUGUACGUACAAGCAGUGGGAGCACCUUCGGGUGUGACUGCGUACCUUUUGUAUAAUGGGUCAGCGACUUAUAUUCUGUAGCAAGGUUAACCGUAUAGGGGAGCCGCAGGGAAACCGAGUCUUAACUGGGCGUUAAGUUGCAGGGUAUAGACCCGAAACCCGGUGAUCUAGCCAUGGGCAGGUUGAAGGUUGGGUAACACUAACUGGAGGACCGAACCGACUAAUGUUGAAAAAUUAGCGGAUGACUUGUGGCUGGGGGUGAAAGGCCAAUCAAACCGGGAGAUAGCUGGUUCUCCCCGAAAGCUAUUUAGGUAGCGCCUCGUGAAUUCAUCUUCGGGGGUAGAGCACUGUUUCGGCUAGGGGGUCAUCCCGACUUACCAACCCGAUGCAAACUACGAAUACCGAAGAAUGUUAUCACGGGAGACACACGGCGGGUGCUAACGUCCGUCGUGAAGAGGGAAACAACCCAGACCGCCAGCUAAGGUCCCAAAGUCAUGGUUAAGUGGGAAACGAUGUGGGAAGGCACAGACAGCCAGGAUGUUGGCUUAGAAGCAGCCAUCAUUUAAAGAAAGCGUAAUAGCUCACUGGUCGAGUCGGCCUGCGCGGAAGAUGUAACGGGGCUAAACCAUGCACCGAAGCUGCGGCAGCGACACUAUGUGUUGUUGGGUAGGGGAGCGUUCUGUAAGCCUGCGAAGGUGACCUGUGAGGGUUGCUGGAGGUAUCAGAAGUGCGAAUGCUGACAUAAGUAACGAUAAAGCGGGUGAAAAGCCCGCUCGCCGGAAGACCAAGGGUUCCUGUCCAACGUUAAUCGGGGCAGGGUGAGUCGACCCCUAAGGCGAGGCCGAAAGGCGUAGUCGAUGGGAAACAGGUUAAUAUUCCUGUACUUGGUGUUACUGCGAAGGGGGGACGGAGAAGGCUAUGUUAGCCGGGCGACGGUUGUCCCGGUUUAAGCAUGUAGGCUGGUUGUCCAGGCAAAUCCGGAUAAUCAAGGCUGAGGUGUGAUGACGAGGCACUACGGUGCUGAAGUAACAAAUGCCCUGCUUCCAGGAAAAGCCUCUAAGCAUCAGGUAACAUCAAAUCGUACCCCAAACCGACACAGGUGGUCAGGUAGAGAAUACCAAGGCGCUUGAGAGAACUCGGGUGAAGGAACUAGGCAAAAUGGUGCCGUAACUUCGGGAGAAGGCACGCUGGUGUGUAGGUGAAGUCCCUGCGGAUGGAGCUGAGACCAGUCGAAGAUACCAGCUGGCUGCAACUGUUUAUUAAAAACACAGCACUGUGCAAACACGAAAGUGGACGUAUACGGUGUGACGCCUGCCCGGUGCCGGAAGGUUAAUUGAUGGGGUUAUCCGUAAGGAGAAGCUCUUGAUCGAAGCCCCGGUAAACGGCGGCCGUAACUAUAACGGUCCUAAGGUAGCGAAAUUCCUUGUCGGGUAAGUUCCGACCUGCACGAAUGGCGUAAUGAUGGCCAGGCUGUCUCCACCCGAGACUCAGUGAAAUUGAACUCGCUGUGAAGAUGCAGUGUACCCGCGGCAAGACGGAAAGACCCCGUGAACCUUUACUAUAGCUUGACACUGAACAUUGAGCCUUGAUGUGUAGGAUAGGUGGGAGGCUUUGAAGCGUGGACGCCAGUCUGCGUGGAGCCAACCUUGAAAUACCACCCUUUAAUGUUUGAUGUUCUAACGUUGGCCCCUUACCGGGGUUGCGGACAGUGUCUGGUGGGUAGUUUGACUGGGGCGGUCUCCUCCCAAAGCGUAACGGAGGAGCACGAAGGUUAGCUAAUCCUGGUCGGACAUCAGGAGGUUAGUGCAAUGGCAUAAGCUAGCUUGACUGCGAGCGUGACGGCGCGAGCAGGUGCGAAAGCAGGUCAUAGUGAUCCGGUGGUUCUGAAUGGAAGGGCCAUCGCUCAACGGAUAAAAGGUACUCCGGGGAUAACAGGCUGAUACCGCCCAAGAGUUCAUAUCGACGGCGGUGUUUGGCACCUCGAUGUCGGCUCAUCACAUCCUGGGGCUGAAGUAGGUCCCAAGGGUAUGGCUGUUCGCCAUUUAAAGUGGUACGCGAGCUGGGUUUAGAACGUCGUGAGACAGUUCGGUCCCUAUCUGCCGUGGGCGCUGGAGAAUUGAGGGGGGCUGCUCCUAGUACGAGAGGACCGGAGUGGACGCAUCACUGGUGUUCGGGUUGUCAUGCCAAUGGCACUGCCCGGUAGCUAAAUGCGGAAGAGAUAAGUGCUGAAAGCAUCUAAGCACGAAACUUGCCCCGAGAUGAGUUCUCCCUGAGACUUUAAGUCUCCUGAAGGAACGUUGAAGACGACGACGUUGAUAGGCCGGGUGUGUAAGCGCAGCGAUGCGUUGAGCUAACCGGUACUAAUGAACCGUGAGGCUUAACCUU